rnacentral:rRNA from 1 species
GGUUAAGCGACUAAGCGUACACGGUGGAUGCCCUGGCAGUCAGAGGCGAUGAAGGACGUGCUAAUCUGCGAUAAGCGUCGGUAAGGUGAUAUGAACCGUUAUAACCGGCGAUUUCCGAAUGGGGAAACCCAGUGUGAUUCGUCACACUAUCAUUAACUGAAUCCAUAGGUUAAUGAGGCGAACCGGGGGAACUGAAACAUCUAAGUACCCCGAGGAAAAGAAAUCAACCGAGAUUCCCCCAGUAGCGGCGAGCGAACGGGGAGCAGCCCAGAGCCUGAAUCAGUGUGUGUGUUAGUGGAAGCGUCUGGAAAGGCGCGCGAUACAGGGUGACAGCCCCGUACACAAAAAUGCACAUGCUGUGAGCUCGAUGAGUAGGGCGGGACACGUGGUAUCCUGUCUGAAUAUGGGGGGACCAUCCUCCAAGGCUAAAUACUCCUGACUGACCGAUAGUGAACCAGUACCGUGAGGGAAAGGCGAAAAGAACCCCGGCGAGGGGAGUGAAAAAGAACCUGAAACCGUGUACGUACAAGCAGUGGGAGCACGCUUAGGCGUGUGACUGCGUACCUUUUGUAUAAUGGGUCAGCGACUUAUAUUCUGUAGCAAGGUUAACCGAAUAGGGGAGCCGAAGGGAAACCGAGUCUUAACUGGGCGUUAAGUUGCAGGGUAUAGACCCGAAACCCGGUGAUCUAGCCAUGGGCAGGUUGAAGGUUGGGUAACACUAACUGGAGGACCGAACCGACUAAUGUUGAAAAAUUAGCGGAUGACUUGUGGCUGGGGGUGAAAGGCCAAUCAAACCGGGAGAUAGCUGGUUCUCCCCGAAAGCUAUUUAGGUAGCGCCUCGUGAAUUCAUCUCCGGGGGUAGAGCACUGUUUCGGCAAGGGGGUCAUCCCGACUUACCAACCCGAUGCAAACUGCGAAUACCGGAGAAUGUUAUCACGGGAGACACACGGCGGGUGCUAACGUCCGUCGUGAAGAGGGAAACAACCCAGACCGCCAGCUAAGGUCCCAAAGUCAUGGUUAAGUGGGAAACGAUGUGGGAAGGCCCAGACAGCCAGGAUGUUGGCUUAGAAGCAGCCAUCAUUUAAAGAAAGCGUAAUAGCUCACUGGUCGAGUCGGCCUGCGCGGAAGAUGUAACGGGGCUAAACCAUGCACCGAAGCUGCGGCAGCGACGCUGAUGCGUUGUUGGGUAGGGGAGCGUUCUGUAAGCCUGCGAAGGUGUGCUGUGAGGCAUGCUGGAGGUAUCAGAAGUGCGAAUGCUGACAUAAGUAACGAUAAAGCGGGUGAAAAGCCCGCUCGCCGGAAGACCAAGGGUUCCUGUCCAACGUUAAUCGGGGCAGGGUGAGUCGACCCCUAAGGCGAGGCCGAAAGGCGUAGUCGAUGGGAAACAGGUUAAUAUUCCUGUACUUGGUGUUACUGCGAAGGGGGGACGGAGAAGGCUAUGUUGGCCGGGCGACGGUUGUCCCGGUUUAAGCGUGUAGGCUGGUUUUCCAGGCAAAUCCGGAAAACUAAGGCUGAGGCGUGAUGACGAGGCACUACGGUGCUGAAGCAACAAAUGCCCUGCUUCCAGGAAAAGCCUCUAAGCAUCAGGUAACAUCAAAUCGUACCCCAAACCGACACAGGUGGUCAGGUAGAGAAUACCAAGGCGCUUGAGAGAACUCGGGUGAAGGAACUAGGCAAAAUGGUGCCGUAACUUCGGGAGAAGGCACGCUGAUAUGUAGGUGAAGCGACUUGCUCGUGGAGCUGAAAUCAGUCGAAGAUACCAGCUGGCUGCAACUGUUUAUUAAAAACACAGCACUGUGCAAACACGAAAGUGGACGUAUACGGUGUGACGCCUGCCCGGUGCCGGAAGGUUAAUUGAUGGGGUCAGCGCAAGCGAAGCUCUUGAUCGAAGCCCCGGUAAACGGCGGCCGUAACUAUAACGGUCCUAAGGUAGCGAAAUUCCUUGUCGGGUAAGUUCCGACCUGCACGAAUGGCGUAAUGAUGGCCAGGCUGUCUCCACCCGAGACUCAGUGAAAUUGAACUCGCUGUGAAGAUGCAGUGUACCCGCGGCAAGACGGAAAGACCCCGUGAACCUUUACUAUAGCUUGACACUGAACAUUGAGCCUUGAUGUGUAGGAUAGGUGGGAGGCUUUGAAGUGUGGACGCCAGUCUGCAUGGAGCCGACCUUGAAAUACCACCCUUUAAUGUUUGAUGUUCUAACGUGGACCCGUGAUCCGGGUUGCGGACAGUGUCUGGUGGGUAGUUUGACUGGGGCGGUCUCCUCCUAAAGAGUAACGGAGGAGCACGAAGGUUGGCUAAUCCUGGUCGGACAUCAGGAGGUUAGUGCAAUGGCAUAAGCCAGCUUGACUGCGAGCGUGACGGCGCGAGCAGGUGCGAAAGCAGGUCAUAGUGAUCCGGUGGUUCUGAAUGGAAGGGCCAUCGCUCAACGGAUAAAAGGUACUCCGGGGAUAACAGGCUGAUACCGCCCAAGAGUUCAUAUCGACGGCGGUGUUUGGCACCUCGAUGUCGGCUCAUCACAUCCUGGGGCUGAAGUAGGUCCCAAGGGUAUGGCUGUUCGCCAUUUAAAGUGGUACGCGAGCUGGGUUUAGAACGUCGUGAGACAGUUCGGUCCCUAUCUGCCGUGGGCGCUGGAGAACUGAGGGGGGCUGCUCCUAGUACGAGAGGACCGGAGUGGACGCAUCACUGGUGUUCGGGUUGUCAUGCCAAUGGCACUGCCCGGUAGCUAAAUGCGGAAGAGAUAAGUGCUGAAAGCAUCUAAGCACGAAACUUGCCCCGAGAUGAGUUCUCCCUGACUCCUUGAGAGUCCUGAAGGAACGUUGAAGACGACGACGUUGAUAGGCCGGGUGUGUAAGCGCAGCGAUGCGUUGAGCUAACCGGUACUAAUGAACCGUGAGGCUUAACCUU